UACGUAGGGUGCGAGCGUUGUCCGGAAUUAUUGGGCGUAAGGAGCUCGUAGGCGGUUUGUUGCGUCGGCCGUGAAAACCUGCAGCUUAACUGUGGGCCUGCGGCCGAUACGGGCAGACUUGAGUUCGGUAGGGGAGACUGGAAUUCCUGGUGUAGCGGUGAAAUGCGCAGAUAUCAGGAGGAACACCGGUGGCGAAGGCGGGUCUCUGGGCCGUAACUGACGCUGAGGAGCGAAAGCGUGGGGAGCGAACAGG
rnacentral:rRNA from 1 species